GCCGAGCUCAGUAACGUGGGCUUAUCACCCAAGUGGGGGCAAUAUUGUGAUUGGACAUGUGGUUUGACUGUCUAGCUGGACCCGGUGGUUGCAAUUAACCGGCUUGCCCGUUCCAAGUGGUGAGUUGGGCCACGUGACUCGGGCGAAGGCUUGAGCCACAUGGCUCGUAGAGUGGAGGGCAAUGCGCUAGGCUGGUUUGACAGAGCAGUGAAAACUUCCCGCUCUCUACAGUGGAAGGAUAACGGGUCGGUGCUUCUUCGGCCCACUUAAGCUAAAUGAGCUAACCUCUAUUGGACAAUCACUUUU
rnacentral:SRP_RNA from 1 species